UACGUAGGGGGCAAGCGUUGUCCGGAAUCAUUGGGCGUAAAGCGCGUGUAGGCGGCUGAGUAAGUCUGCUCUGAAAGCCCGGGGCUCAACCCCGGGAGGCGGGUGGAUACUGCUCAGCUCGAGUCCGGAAGAGGAGUGUGGAAUUCCUGGUGUAGCGGUGGAAUGCGCAGAUAUCAGGAAGAACACCCGUGGCGAAGGCGGCUCUCUGGAACGCAACUGACGCUGAGACGCGAAAGCGUGGGGAGCAAACAGG
rnacentral:rRNA from 1 species